UGAGUAACACGUGGGCAAUCUGCCCUGCACUUCGGGAUAAGCCUGGGAAACUGGGUCUAAUACCGGAUAGGACCUUUAGACGCAUGUCUUUUGGUGGAAAGCUUUUGCGGUGUGGGAUGGGCCCGCGGCCUAUCAGCUUGUUGGUGGGGUGAUGGCCUACCAAGGCGACGACGGGUAGCCGGCCUGAGAGGGUGUCCGGCCACACUGGGACUGAGAUACGGCCCAGACUCCUACGGGAGGCAGCAGUGGGGAAUAUUGCACAAUGGGCGCAAGCCUGAUGCAGCGACGCCGCGUGGGGGAUGACGGCCUUCGGGUUGUAAACCUCUUUCACCAUCGACGAAGGUUCGGGUUUUCUCGGAUUGACGGUAGGUGGAGAAGAAGCACCGGCCAACUACGUGCCAGCAGCCGCGGUAAUACGUAGGGUGCGAGCGUUGUCCGGAAUUACUGGGCGUAAAGAGCUCGUAGGUGGUUUGUCGCGUUGUUCGUGAAAUCUCACGGCUUAACUGUGAGCGUGCGGGCGAUACGGGCAGACUAGAGUACUGCAGGGGAGACUGGAAUUCCUGGUGUAGCGGUGGAAUGCGCAGAUAUCAGGAGGAACACCGGUGGCGAAGGCGGGUCUCUGGGCAGUAACUGACGCUGAGGAGCGAAAGCGUGGGGAGCGAACAGGAUUAGAUACCCUGGUAGUCCACGCCGUAAACGGUGGGUACUAGGUGUGGGUUUCCUUCCUUGGGAUCCGUGCCGUAGCUAACGCAUUAAGUACCCCGCCCNGGGGAGUACGGCCGCAAGGCUAAAACUCAAAGGAAUUGACGGGGGCCCGCACAA
rnacentral:rRNA from 1 species